UGCAAGACAAAAAACUACCAGUGAAGGAAGAGACUGCGAGGAAAGUGAAACUCAGACCGGAGAAGACAAGCAAUGGCGGAGGAACCAAGGCUGUAGAUCUUUGAUAAAAGGAGAAGCAAGAAAUUACAAUUGAAAAGGCCAUGCAUGAUAAGCGGAAAUGUAUCACUGCUGUGAAAGGGCUACAACUUUUUGGUGAGCUAUCUGUUGUAUUAUAUCCUUUGUCUUUCUAUUUGGAGACUCUUAUUUAAAUCCUACCAUAAUAGGUAACUACAAUUUACUUUUGGAUUUGAUUCUUCACUGAUGGGAUGUUGUGGGGCGUGAUUUGGGGGAGAUAUGGGUGGGGGUUGGGUGCAGAGAGAAGGUGAGGGCAGAUGCACGAUUAGGGGGACAGAAAGAGAGUUGCUUGGGUCCACCAUGAAGUUCGAAAGCCCAAUCCGAGAUGCAAUUUCCAUAAUCCGAUUCGCCUAAAAUCCGACAACGUCCUCAUCUCCUCUCACGACCUAUCUUAAGAUUGUACGACCCAGAAGUGACCGGCAGAAAAUGGAUCCAUGGAUGGAUGAAACACUGAAGAAGACUCAUGUCAGCCGCCAAGCUACCCGAAAACUUUGAAAUCAUGGGUGAGUUUUUCAAUGACUUGCACACCUCGAUUCGGUUGUUGCGGUUGAGGGGAUUGAAGCCCAGUUUCAGCGACAUUUACUCCCAAAUCGAGUGUUUAACGGAUAGAUCCUCUUCUUGAUGUUGCCUGUUCCUCAGUUUGAAUUGAUUGAAUGGCGAAUGACUGAAAAAUAUUGUCCCAUCACCGCAAAACAUGAGAUGUCCAUUGUGAACAUAAUCCAUGGAGAAAGCUUGGGAAGUUGCACAGGUCCCAUUCAAGAAUUUGGCGAUGAUGGUUUCAUGAUAUGGAUGGUUGGGAGUAUAGUGCAUUUGUUUAGCAUUGGAAUUACAUUUUCCGCUUUUUGGCAACCCAUAAGCACCUUACAUGGUGUAGGGAAGGGUAAAUGAUUCUUAUUCUGUUAAUCAGUCUGUAUGUGUUUCAUUCUCCACUUCAUCUCCUUUGUUUGGUAGUGUUAUAUAUUGUAUUCAUGCAGUAUAGACUAAUGCUUAAAUUAGAUAUUGCUAAAAAAAGGGUCUUUAUCUUCUAAAUCCUUAGCUUGCUCUACCUUGAAUACGUUUCGAAUUCUUUUAUAUAAGAUUAUCCCUUGUGAAGAAGUGAAAUAAAUAGGGUGAUUCUUAUAUUUCUUAAGAUUUGGUUCCCAAAAUGAUUGUGAUGAUGAUGAAAAAUGUAUUAUGUGAUUUGAAGAAAAAUGGUCAAACACAGUAGAAGUAACUCAAACUGUGUCACUCAGAGGAAGGGAGGGAGGGAGGGAGAGAGAGAUGGAUUUGGUGAGAGGAAGGCAUGCGGCUUGCAGGCAGACAGAGUCACAGGGGUGUAUGAUUCAAGGGAGAGAGAGAGGGGAUUGAGUGGUGAUGCUCGAUUUGGGGUUAGGCGACGACAGGAGGGAGGGCAAGGGUUGUUGCAUCCGGGUCAUUCAGAUGGUUGCGAGAGAGUGCUGUGUUCUAGGGUUUGAGAGUUGGUUUCGAGAAAGUGAGGGGGCCAGAGUGGGGGUAAGGCUUGAGCUGGGUUUGUGGAAUGGGGCUGGAUUAGUUACAGACGGAGAAGGGGAUGAGGGUGUGGAAUGUCAGGGAGACUAAUGGAGAGGGAGGUCUGCCAAAAAUUGGGAUUAAUGUUGAGGGGAUUGUAGGGCAGACAGGAGGUUAUGCCGCAUCUGAGAUAGAGAUGGAGAGAGACAGAGAGAGAGACGGAGACAGAGCGAGAGAUGGAGGGAUUUCAGGGAUUUGCAAAUUCUUCCCCUUGCUGCCUGUUCUGUUCUGAUUUGAAGAUUUCUCAAGUGGCUAUAAUUUCAUAGUAGGUUGGUUUAAAGCAGUUCCAAAAUAUGGGAUCGUUUGGGAUAUAUUCCCCUCUCUCUACAUCUCAGAUCUCUGCAGUUUCACAAAUUAGGGUCUAUGUGUGCAGCAAGCAAAAUCCUUUCAUUCAUAUGAGCUUCUUGGGCCUCUUUACCUUCACAACAGCUUACUUACCUGGCUUUUCUUUUGGCUCCAGAAUACCAUAUGGAGAUAUCAUAUUUCUCUUCUCUCUCUCUCUCUGUCUUUCUCUCUUUAUGAGCGCUGUCUUUCUUUCUUUAGUUGCGCACCAUCAGGGACCGUAGUUACAUCUUAUCUUUUUGCUAUAUUUCUUUUACCUUUGAGUAUUAUGAGGAUGGGAUUUUAGACUCAUCAACGACAAAAAAAAAUUGCUUUCAUUUUAUAGGAGUGAAAGAUUUGAUUUUUCAUGCACUUAUCUUUUAAUUUUAUUUGUUUAUUUAGUUUUCCCAAUAUUUUGGGUGAAAUUCUACCCCAUGCAUUUGGGUUUUAGUCUUUUCUAGGCCAGUUGCUAGAAAAAAAAGGCGUUUGAGAGAGAGAGAGAAGACAGCUUGAAAAAUUUAGUAUCUUGAAGUGAUAAAGCAAAGAGAUUUCCAAAGCUAAUCAAAUUGUUAUCGUCAGCUUGCUCUCUUUGGAUUAAUUGAUGUUAUAAUGCAUUUUGAAGCUUAAAUUAUAGAUUCCUUUUCUGUAGCAAACCUUGAUUUAUCAGUGUAUAGAAAAAAAUAUCAAUUCAUUUCAGUUUAAAUAUUUCUGAAAAGUUAGAGAUGGUUUUAUUAGUUUCAAAUUAUAUACUACUGAAAAGUUUAACAUCUGCUGAGCACGUUGAGCGUUUGUAAAUUAGCCAAAUUAUAGGGUCAUGUGCAGGUGAUCUGUUUAAAACUUUUUUUUUUCAUGAGUUUUUAUUAAGCUUUGUGACUUUUUUUUUUGUAUCUGUUGAUUUCUAAUUUACUAUAAUUAAGAACAAGAUUAGUGAAUUUAUAAUUUGCUGCUUAGCUUAACACGAUCCUUGAAUAAAAUUUGAGUCUUGGUUAAAGUUAGGUCAUAUUUUUAAGAAUCGUAAAAACUAAGGAAAUUUUCUGGGUAUCUCCUACUCAACUUUUGUUGGCAAAUUGGUCUUUGCUAAUCAAUGUUAUUUUUGGGUGCUAACUGUUUUGGUCUUUAUAAAUUUUGGUAGCAUUGAUUUCUUCUACACUUAUGAUAUGACAACGUUGUGUAAUGAUUGUAGGUUUUUGAAAAUUUUGAGCUUCACAAACUGUGGAAAAAGAAACAAGUUUUGCUAAAAUCAAUUUAAAGGCACAAUAACAAAUGUAUAAAAAAAAUCUAUUGGAUGAUGUAAUUUGGUUUGGAUUUGUAAAUUAUGCUUUUCAAUGUGGAUUAAUUGUUUAAGUAAUUUUAGAUUAUGCUGAUUGUCUCUUUUCUCUUCUACUUAUUUUGUGUUUUCCAGCUAUUUUUCUGUAAUUACCUUUUGUUUAUAUUAUAGGACAGGUUUGUAAUUCUUAUUUUGAUAAUUUUUUCUCCUUUCUCUCUU